AGCAUGAUGAAGAUGUAGACCAACAUGAUGAAGAUGUAGACCAACAUGAAGAAGAUGUAGACCAGCAUGAUGAAGAUGUAGAGCAACAUGAAGAUGUAGACCAGCAUGAUGAAGAUGUAGACCAACAUGAAGAUGUAGGCUGACAUGAUGAAGAAUGAAGACCAACAUGAAGAUGUAGACCAACAAGAAGAUGUAGACCAACAUCAAGAUGUAGACCAACAUAAAGAUGUAAACCAACAUGAUGAAGAUGUAGACCAACAUGAAGAAUGAAGACCAACAUGAAGAAUGAAGACCAACAUGAUGAAGAUGUAGACCAACAUGAAGAUGUAGACCAACAUGAAGAUGUAGACCAACAUGAUGAAGAUGUAGACCAACAUGAUGAAGAUGUAGACCAACAUGAAGAUGUAGACCAACAUAAAGAUGUAGACCAACAUGAAGAUGUAGACCAACAUGAAGAUGUAGACCAACAUAAAGAUGUAGACCAACAUGAAGAUGUAGACCAACAUGAUGAAGAUGUAGACCAACAUGAUGAAGAUGUAGACCAACAUGAAGAUGUAGACCGACAUGAAGAAUGAAGACCAACAUGAAGAAUGAAGACCAACAUGAAGAUGUAGACCAACAUGAAGAAUGAAGACCAACAUGAAGAAUGAAGACCAACAUGAAGAUGUAGGCUGACAUGAAGAUGUAGACCAACAUGAAGAAUGAAGACCAACAUGAAGAUGUAGACCAACAUGAAGAUGUAGACCAACAUGAAGAUGUAGACCAACAUGAUGAAGAUGUAGACCAACAUGAUGAAGAUGUAGACCAACAUGAAGAUGUAGACCAGCAUGAUGAAGAUGUAGACCAACAUGAUGAAGAUGUAGACCAACAUGAAGAUGUAGACCAACAUGAAGAAUGAAGACCAACAUGAAGAUGUAGACCAAUUUGAAGAUGUAGACCAAUUUGAAGAUGUAGACCAACAUGAAGAUGUAGACCAACAUGAAGAAUGAAGACCAACAUGAAGAAUGUAGACCAACAUGAAGAUGUAGACCAACAUGAAGAUGUAGACCAACCUGAUGAAGAUGUAGACCAACAUGAUGAAGAUGUAGACCAACAUGAAAAUGUAGACCAGCAUGAUGAAGAUGUAGACCAACAUGAAGAUGAAAUGUAAACCAAAAUAUUUAUCAAGAGAUGUAUGGAAUAAAAAGUGAACAUCUUGAGAGGGAAAACAAUUCCUAGAGGCAAAGACACAGACACAUUAGAUACAUUAGAGAUUGUUUCCUUUUCUACCAUCAUUUAGAGCCUUUUUUGUGAGGGAACCUGCAUCUGUAAAGAAAUGAACAUUUCCCUAAUGCUACUUCAAAUUCAGAUCUCCUCCCAACCUCAGGCUGAGUACCUGUGUUCACCUACUUUAUGUUACAUUACCAUAGCACUACAGACAGUGGAAAACAAAUUAUAUGAAGGAAUUCAACCACCAUCAGAUAUUGUUGUCUUUACAGACUCCCAAUCUACUCUGCUAGAACUUAACAGCAGCACCUCAAACAGCCCAAGAGAGUUGACAACACUCAUUGUGAUAAUCCAUCAGAUGAUAUCAAAAUUAAAUAUCAAUAUCACACUACAGUGGAUCCCUGGACACAUUGUCAUCAUGGGAAAUGAAAAGGCAGAUAGGCUAUCAAAGGCAGGUUCAUCUAUGGAACAACCAGAUAGACCUGUUAACUACCUCACCCUAAGGUCAAUGUUAGUCAACAAUCACAAAGAGGAGUGGCUCAACCAAUGGGCAUCAGGAAACACAGGCAGAGCCAUGUACAAAGAAAUGACUACGCCUAACAAACUGGACAGUAUUAACUUCCUCCCCUGCAAAGAACAUUCUACAACCUUCCAACUAAGAACAGGACACACUCCACUAUUAAUUACCACCUGAACAAAAUAAACUCCACACAACUCCUCUUUUGCAGACACUGCGCCCACCCCUUUGAAGCCGUAAACCAUAUCCUCUUUGAAUGCCCCUCCCUAAUCCACCUUAGGCAGACCCUACUUCCACUACAGCCCAACAUAACCAACACCCUGUACGGCAAUGCUGAACAACUGAAGAAAACAGCACACUUUUUUCCUUGGCACAGUCUGCAAAAGAGCUUACAGCUCAGCAGCAAUAAAGCUGGCUAGAGGAAGAAGAAGAAAAAGAGGUUACAUUACAAGAAGUGGUCGCAAAGUCAGAAAACCUAACAGAUGACAAUGAAUAGAACAAUCAUUUCUAAUAUAGGUACAAGUGAUGUACUUUGUAAUAACUAUUUGGGUGGAAUCACUAUAAUUGACUUGUAUCUUCUAUAUUAUAAAGUAGAAUGUGAGGGGUAUGUAUGUAUGUAUGUUACUUAUAGACAUCAAAACCGCUUGACCAAUCUUGAUAAAACUAGGCAGGAAUGUUCCUUGGGUACCAACUUAGACCGUAGUGUAUGUAUUGUAGCCCUAAAACAAACUUAAGACCCUCAAAAAAAAAUAAAGUUGUCCGACUCUAUUACAGCUAUAGUAUUUUAUGGAUCUAGGCCAUGUCUACAAUGUUGACAUGAGAAAAGAUAGAAAGGAUUUAGACCUAGAUCUAAUUUUAAGAAAUACACUUUGCGCAGAUAGUUUUUUACUUUGACACAUGAAAAGACAAAAGAAGAUCCAUUGAUUUCAUUAUAUAAUAAAAUUAACCUUCAAUUUUGUGUUUCAAAAGCAUUUUUUACAUUAAUUAGUUCCUUAUAUCUGUGGCUACAGAUUCCUGACGAACAUUCUUUCAUUAGACAAUACCGUAAUGAAUCGCGUACUAAAAAUUAAUUCGUUUAAUUGUUUACUUUAUAAUCCCAUCCCUAGAUCUAAAACUCUAAUUCAACUCUAAGAUGAUAAAACUUCUCUUCGCACAGAUAGUUUUAUACUUUAACACAUAAACAUAUUAAUUAAAGUCCAUUCAUUUCAUAUUUUGAUCAAAUAAACAUUCAAAUUUGGUUUUCUAAAGCUACAUUCGUUUACGACAGCUGCGAAGCCAAGUUGAGAUAGGCCUAGAUCUAUAUUCAUUCAUGAAUCGCGUACUAAAAAUUAUUUCGUUUAAUUGUUCACUUUAUAGUUUAUAAUACCAUCCCUAGAUCUAAAACUCUAAUCCAACUCUAAGAUGAUAAAACUUCUCUUCGCACAGAUAGUUUUAUACUUUAACACAAAAUAUAUUAAUUAAAGUCCAUUCAUUUCAUAUUUUGAUCAAAUAAACAUUAAAAUUUGGUUUUCUAAAGCUACAUUCGCUUACGAAAGCUGCGAAGCCGAGUUGAGAUAGGCCUAGAUCUAUAUUCAUUCAUGAAUCGCGUACUAAAAAUUAUUUCGUUUAAUUGUUCACUUUAUAAUCCCAUUUAUUUAACAAAGCUAUCGCUCUUUUCGUUUUUAAUAGAUAAGAAUGUAUCGACUUCGGGUAAACCAUUUUCGCAAAACUAAUUUUAUUUUCGUAGCGAAAGAGAAAUAACGUGAAAGGAUCAUUAGCUACGUUUAACAUACAUCUAAAUCCAAUCCACUAGAUUAUUCAAAAGCAAAUGUUUUAAUUUUAAAAAAUGGAUUUAAGCCUAUUAGCUAUUUUGAUUUGAUAGCUUCAUUCACAGUAUUUUUACAUUGACACAUUCGCUUUACUCAUUACAUUAUUAUUUCGUUUAAUUGUUUACAAAACACUCUCAGUGACUAUAUCGACAGUAAUGCGCAAAUAAAGACCCGCGGGUCGCGGGUAACAUAUGUCUAGUGUUCUAUAUUUAGGUAAAUCUUGUCAUUCAGUCCAGUCAUUGUUCUUUUUCAUAUUCCUUUUUUUCCCCUCAAUCUUCUUGUUGUUUCAGUGAAAUGUUUUUAUCUUUUUUGUUUUGGAGGAGGGAGUGGCUGUGGUAUAUUAUCAUUAUUAUUAUUGGAGUCACAACACCAAAGCCUUGCUACAUUAUGCUUUUAAUUCAAUUUAUUAUCUCCCCUGCUUUUGUGUGCUAUCAUAUUAAUGUUCAUUAGUGUCACAUCCAUGCACAAUUUGUUCUAUGCUUUUUAUAGUGUAAAUAGUGACUUGACAUUAUUUAGAUCAAUUAUAAUAUAUUAUAUUAUAUUUAACAUAAAACUGUUAACAUUUUCUAUGCUAUUAUUAAUAUGAAUGUUUUUUGUGUGUUGCUAUGAAUGCAUUUUAAGUUUUAGUCUGAAAUCAUAAAUAAGAAAUUGUUUCAUAAAUAAAGAUUAUAUUAAUAUUUAAUAUUGUCAGACUUCACUAUAGCAUUGAGUUCAUCCCCAUAAUCUAUUUAAAACUUUCAAAUACUAAUUCACUUUGUCUUAUCUAAUGGUGAUCAUGGGGGUAUCCACUAUCCAUAGUCUCUGGUAUGAACACUCACUGUCCUGGUUAGGGCUAGGAUGUAAUCUCUAUUUCUGAUGGAACACAUGUAAAACCAAGAAAACAAACAAUAGACCUAGACUUUAUUAACAGGUCAUGCAAGCAUUUUUUUAUAAUUGUGAACUGAUGCUCUCAGAGCUAUUUUUAUGUAUUUUUAUUUUUGCAACUUUUGUAGACUAGUGCUAAGCUGUAUGCUUAUACUUCCGUGUAUUAUUAUAUGGGUUAGGGCGAUGCUGUUUCCUGUACUGUUGACCAGAGUGGUGACAGUUUUAAUUAUUCUGUACUUGGAACUGCCUUUAAGUUUCAGAAUUUGUUGUUUUUUUUCUAUAUGUAAAGCUACUUUAUAUAUAUAGUUAUAUAUUAUGGUACAUUAUUUUUCUAAUUGAAACAAGUCAAAAUAAUUGGCGGUUUUUUGUUUUAAAGUUUGUUUUAAAAUGAUGGCCACUUCUAAUGUUUAUGUACUAGAUCUUUUCCUAAUUUUUUUGUUUUUUUAUCUGCAGUGUUUUGUAACUGCUGCUUUGCUCAUUUGAAUUAAAGUAUCAUUUUGUUA